AGGAGGACUGAGAAGGUAAGACAGUUAAACUUUAUGCUGUAUCUUACUGGUUAUAGCCUCCAAAAUUAUAACAGUGCAAUUGGCAGCUCAUGUCCCCCUCCUGACAUGAGGGGAAGCAGUACUGCAUUUGCACAUAAGGC
rfam:Colius striatus contig37930, whole genome shotgun sequence.